rnacentral:rRNA from 1 species
ACACGCAUGACACACUGCAUAUCAAUAAGCGGAGGAAAAGAAACUAACAAGGAUUCCCUUAGUAACGGCGAGUGAAGCGGGAAGAGCUCAAAUUUGAAAUCUUCAAGGUUCUACCUUGACGAAUUGUAGUUUAUAGAAGUGUUUUCUGUUAGUAGAGUGGCAAAAGUUCUUUGGAAUAGGACAUCAUAGAGGGUGAGAAUCCCGUAUUUGGUCAUUCUUUCUAGCUUUGUGAUACACUUUCAACGAGUCGGAUUGUUUGGGAAUGCAGUCCAAAAUGGGUGGUAAAUUUCAUCUAAAGCUAAAUAUUGGCGAGAGACCGAUAGCUGAACAAGUACCGUGAGGGAAAGAUGAAAAGAACUUUGAAAAGAGAGUUAAACAGUACGUGAAAUUGUCAAAAGGGAAGCGUUUGACACCAGUGUUGUUUUUCCGAAAAUCAAUUACGAAUGUUUUAGUUUUUGAGAAGUUAUGACUUCAUCGGCUUGCUUCCUCUCUUUAUGAAACUUUCUUAAUGCACUUUUCGGUUAACAAGUCAACAUCAAUUUCUUUUGUUGUAAAAGGGUAUGAGGAAGGUGGCUUUCUUUUCGGAGAAAGUGUUUAUAGCCUUGUACCUCUGCAAUCGGAGAGAUUGAGGUCUGCAGCGUAGAUCCUUCGGGGUUAGAUACAGUUUGUGCUAAGUUAUAGCUUUUCAUAGACAACUUGUUGACUAUGUUUAGUCUUGUAGACUUACUCGCUGACGCUAUUUUACCUACGCUUAGGAUGUUGACGCAUGAGAUAUACGC